GUCAACCUACGGGAGGCAGCAGUAGGGAAUCUUCCACAAGGGGCGAAAGCCUGAUGGAGCAACGCCGCGUGGGUGAAGAAGGUCUUCGGAUCGUAAAACCCUGUUGUUAGAGAAGAAAGUGCGUGAGAGUAACUGUUCACGUUUCGACGGUAUCUAACCAGAAAGCCACGGCUAACUGCGUGCCAGCAGCCGCGGUAAUACGUAGGUGGCAAGCGUUAUCCGGAUUUAUUGGGCGUAAAGAGAACGCAGGCGGUCUUUUAAGUCUGAUGUGAAAGCCUUCGGCUUAACCGG
rnacentral:rRNA from 1 species